rnacentral:rRNA from 1 species
ACCGGAUAAUAUUUUGAACCGCAUGGUUCAAAAGUGAAAGACGGUCUUGCUGUCACUUAUAGAUGGAUCCGCGCUGCAUUAGCUAGUUGGUAAGGUAACGGCUUACCAAGGCAACGAUGCAUAGCCGACCUGAGAGGGUGAUCGGCCACACUGGAACUGAGACACGGUCCAGACUCCUACGGGAGGCAGCAGUAGGGAAUCUUCCGCAAUGGGCGAAAGCCUGACGGAGCAACGCCGCGUGAGUGAUGAAGGUCUUCGGAUCGUAAAACUCUGUUAUUAGGGAAGAACAUAUGUGUAAGUAACUGUGCACAUCUUGACGGUACCUAAUCAGAAAGCCACGGCUAACUACGUGCCAGCAGCCGCGGUAAUACGUAGGUGGCAAGCGUUAUCCGGAAUUAUUGGGCGUAAAGCGCGCGUAGGCGGUUUUUUAAGUCUGAUGUGAAAGCCCACGGCUCAACCGUGGAGGGUCAUUGGAAACUGGAAAACUUGAGUGCAGAAGAGGAAAGUGGAAUUCCAUGUGUAGCGGUGAAAUGCGCAGAGAUAUGGAGGAACACCAGUGGCGAAGGCGACUUUCUGGUCUGUAACUGACGCUGAUGUGCGAAAGCGUGGGGAUCUAAACAGGAUUAGAUACCUGGUAGUCCACGCCGUAAACGAUGAGUGCUAAGUGUUAGGGGGUUUCCGCCCCUUAGUGCUGCAGCUAACGCAUUAAGCACUCCGCCUGGGGAGUACGACCGCAAGGGUUGAAACUCAAAGGAAUUGACGGGGACCCGCACAAGCGGUGGAGCAUGUGGUUUAAUUCGAAGCAACGCGAAGAACCCUUACCAAAUCCUUGACAUCCCUUGACAACUCUAGAGAUAGAGCCUUCCCCUUCGGGGGACAAAGUGAACAGGUGGUGCCAUGGCUUGUCGUUCAGCUCCGUGUCCGAUGAAGAAUGUUGGGUUUAGGUCCCGCAACCGAGCCGCCACCCUAAGCUUAGUUGC